rnacentral:tRNA from 1 species
GAGGGUAUAGCUCAGUGGCAGAGUGAGUGCUUAGCAGGCAUGAGGUCCUGGGUUCAAUCCCUAGUACCUCCA